rnacentral:lncRNA from 1 species
AAUUAAUUAAUAUUUUAAAUUCCAGUAUCGUUAACACACAGUAUUACAUUAAUUUCAGGUGUAUGGAGACUAUGAUUCUGAAUGUUGAAAGUAAUCUUCACUAUCAACCAGACCAGUUUCUCUAAGACUGAGGUUUAAAAUAGCCCUGGCUCUCCUGGAGCUCAGCACACAGUGUGAAUGGGAGCCCACAGAAGACAGUGACAUGGACCCAGCACAAAGCUCUUGACCAAAGGAAGAACCAGAACGUGUGUAAGAUCCCAGGCGACUUAGACCAAGGCCACAUUUAUUUCUUCCAAAUAUUGGCUCUUCUCACUGAUAUAAAGUGACUUCACAGGUUGUAGUAGUACAAGCCACGCAAGAAAGGACUGGUGUGAUGACAAGAGGAAGCUGGGCAGAAGCUAACAGCAAUCGUCUGAAGCCACAAGGGUCUGUGGACAAUACCACCUUCUAUGCAGGAGUCAGACGGUGCCUCAGAGUGCAGGGAGAAUCUGAUGGGCAGAAGCGCUUUAGGUAAGAGAAAAGACAAAUGAACUUGUCAAAUUCUUCCUCUCAUACAGUGUGAAUGUUAUAGAUUUUUGCAUAAUAAAGUAUCAUUUCCCACUAGCACCAAGCAUCCAUCUUCUUGCUUCUCUGUUCCAGCUUGGGUCCAGGUCUUCAGGAACUGGUGCAACAUUCACUACAGUUGGGUAGAGUAGGAAAGG